UACGAAGGGGGCUAGCGUUGUUCGGAAUUACUGGGCGUAAAGCGCACGUAGGCGGAAUGUUAAGUCAGGGGGUGAAAUCCCGGGGGCUCAACCCCGGAACUGCCUUUGAUACUGGCAUUCUCGAGUCCGGAAGAGGUGAGUGGAAUUCCGAGUGUAGAGGUGAAAUUCGUAGAUAUUCGGAGGAACACCAGUGGCGAAGGCGGCUCACUGGUCCGGUACUGACGCUGAGGUGCGAAAGCGUGGGGAGCAAACAGG
rnacentral:rRNA from 1 species